rnacentral:lncRNA from 1 species
UACUAUAACUGCAGGAGCACUCAACAUUUUGUGAGAGAUUGCCCUUAGAGGCCAAAAAACAUGGCCAAACCUAUAGUCUAGGGACGUGUCUAUCAUCUCGAUGAGCCUAAUGUCCUUACCACUCCUGUUGUUAUUCAGAGCAUGCUUUCUAUCUAUGAUACCACUACCCGAGCUUUGAUUGAUAUAAGUGUUACCCACUCUUUCAUAUCUUAUUUUUCUACUUGUAAUUUAGAUA